rnacentral:rRNA from 1 species
CGAGGGGGGGCUAGCGUUGUUCGGAAUUACUGGGCGUAAAGGGUUCGUAGGUGGCUCGCUAAGUCAGACGUGAAAUCCCUCAGCUUUACUGGGGAACUGCGUCUGAGACUGGCGAGCUCGAGUGCAGGAGAGGAACGCGGAAUUCCAGGUGUAGCGGUGAAAUGCGUAGAUAUCUGGAGGAACACCGGUGGCGAAGGCGGCGUUCUGGACUGCAACUGACACUGAGGAACGAAAGCCAGGGUAGCAAACGGGAUUAGAUACCCCGGUAGUCCUGGCCCUAAACGAUGAAUGCUUGGUGUGGCGGGUAUCGAUCCCUGCCGUGCCGCAGUUAACGCGUUAAGCAUUCCGCCUGGGGAGUACGGUCGCAAGGCUG